GGAAUGUGGCUCAAGUGGUAGCGUGCUCGCCUGGCAUGCGUGCGGCCUGGGUUCAAUCCUCAGCACCA
rnacentral:tRNA from 1 species